UGAUGCAGCAACGCCGCGUGAGUGAUGACGGCCUUAGGGUUGUAAAGCUCUGUCCUCAAGGAAGAUAAUGACGGUACCUGGGGAGGAAGCCACGGCUAACUACGUGCCAGCAGCCGCGGUAAUACGUAGGUGGCAAGCGUUGUCCGGAUUUACUGGGCGUAAAGGGAGCGUAGGCGGAUUUUUAAGUGGGAUGUGAAAUCCCCGGGCUCAACCCGGGGGCUGCAUUCCAAACUGGAAAUCUAGAGUGUCGGAGAGGAAAGCAGAAUUCCUAGUGUAGCGGUGAAAUGCGUAGAGAUUAGGAAGAAUACCAGUGGCGAAGGCGGCUUUCUGGACGAUAACUGACGCUGAGGCUCGAAAGCGUGGGGAGCAAACAGGAUUAGAUACCCUGGUAGUCCACGCCGUAAACGAUGGAUACUAGGUGUAGGAGGGUCCAACCUUCUGUGCCGCCGCAAACGCAUUAAGUAUCCCGCCUGGGGAGUACGGUCGCAAGAUUAAAACUCAAAGGAAUUGACGGGGACCCGCACAAGUAGCGGAGCAUGUGGUUUAAUUCGAAGCAACGCGAAGAACCUUACCUAAGCUUGACAUCCUUUUGACCGAUGCCUAAUCGCAUCUUUCCCUUCGGGGACAGAAGUGACAGGUGGUGCAUGGUUGUCGUCAGCUCGUGUCGUGAGAUGUUGGGUUAAGUCCCGCAACGAGCGCAACCCUUGCCUUUAGUUGCCAGCAUUAAGUUGGGCACUCUAGAGGGACUGCCAGGGAUAACCUGGAGGAAGGUGGGGAUGACGUCAAAUCAUCAUGCCCCUUAUGCUUAGGGCUACACACGUGCUACAAUGGGUGGUACAGAGGGCAGCCAAGUCGUGAGGCCGAGCUAAUCCCUUAAAGCCAUUCUCAGUCCGGAUUGUAGGCUGAAACUCGCCUACAUGAAGCUGGAGUUACUAGUAAU
rnacentral:rRNA from 1 species